UAUCUAGAACCCAUUUCCUGAUUAUUUUCCCUCUUCCCUAGGUUUCAAAGGCUGCGCGGGCUGCUGGUCUCUUGCUGUCGCAUGCCAAAGAUCAAUCCCCUGGUAGGGGGUAGAAAUAUUGCAACAUCAAUGGGAUGAUGAAGUAAAUGUAAUUAAAAAUGAGGAGGAGGAGUUAAUGCAGAUAAGAACCAUAUACUGUACCUACGACCGUAUGACCAGGGAAUGGACGCCACUGAUGCCAACAUGGAUGGUUUCAAAGCAGGCGCCGGCAAGGUUAUCCAGCCAUGGGCCUGAUCGCUCCCACGGACGUCCGUGGGCCAGACGGGCACAGCGCGACGCCGGAAAUGGCGUCUGCGCAUGUCCGCAGCGCUGGAAAUCGCACCUGUGCAGAAGUGAUUUUCGACGUCUGGGCAUGCACAUGUGCGAUUUCCAGCGUUGGCGCAGGCGCCAUUUCCGGCACUGCUCAGCAACUCCCCAUGCUGUGCUGGGCCGAUUUAGCGCAGCGCGUGGGGGACUCACCGGUCUGGCGGCUUGGUUCACGGGCGGCCCGUGGGCCGGAUAAACGGCCUUUGUGGGCUGCAUCCGGUCCAUGGGGCGGAGGUUGCCGAUCCCUGUUUCAAAGGCUGCAUGGGCUGCUGGUCUCCUGCUGUCGCAUGCCAAAGAUCAAUCCCCUGGUCUGUGAGGAGGAGGAGGUAGAAAUAUUGCCACAUCAAUGGGAUGAUGAAGUAAAUGUAAUUAAAAAUGAGGAGGAGUUACUGUAAUGCAGAUAAGAACCAUAUACCUACGACCGUACAACCAGAGAAUGGAUGCCACCAAUGCCAACAUGGAUGGCAGCGACAGCAGUGAGGCCAGCAGCUCCAAUACAGCUCUCCUCCCACCAAGACCCAGUUCCCCCAGUUAUAUAAACAGAUAGAUAGAUAGAUAUUUAAAAAACACCACGAGUCUCCAGUGGUCUCAUGGGUUACUUGUCCAAUAAUGGAAAGAAGAAGUCCCAAGGAAAGAAGAAUGGGUACCAAAUCUUAUGGAAUAUGCAGAAAUGGUGAAACUUACCAGAAAAACAAGAAAUCAAGGUAACCAACUGCUUACAAAAGAAUAGAAAUGGUUUCUUGAAUAUUUUCAAAUAAACUGUGAACAGAUAAGAACAUUGUAAUAACCUGCAGUUUUAUAAGAGUAUACAGUAUAUAUUUUAAGUAGAUGAAUAAAUGAGCAAAUUAAGUUAAUUUGGAUAUGCAGAAAAUAUAAAAAUUAAUAAAUUUAAGGAACAGCAGAAAGAGGGACGGAAG